UGCAUUUAUUUAGAAUCCAGAAAACUAAACAUACAUCACUAUUUUCAAUCACAACUAGUAUUAGUUAUUAGAGGCAAUAUAGACAUUUCUCACCACUAUAUUGUGUCUGAAAUUUUCUAAAAGUACACUCUUUGCGGGAUGGAGGGAGUACGCUCUUUUUUCUAGUCCUUUCUCCCCUUGAAAAAUGAAACCCGCUAACUUCUUGUGCACAUUGCUGUUCUUCCUGAGAGCUUUGUUAUCUCUACACAUGCACUGCUGUUAUCUCCCAGAACAUCACAAUCACUAAAUGAUAACUGAAUGCUAUCAAUAGCCAACCAGUCUUUCUCACUUCUUCAGACUGAUAGGAUUGAGCACACAGGCUUUGCAUCUGUAUAAGCAUGCAGAAACAGAGCCCUAAAUGCAACGUUUCAAUCCACAUACACUACUAUAUACGCAGUAGUUAUUGCCUCUCGCCUAGCAAAAUGGCAACAAUCAAUUGUUCACCAGCAGACAGCGUACAUUCUACGACCACAACCACAGCCCAAUUUGCACACAUGAAUACAACACGGAAGAUGGUCCAGGCCCAACAUCAUCUUAAAAAGAGGCUACGUACGCUAGCACAGAAACGGGGGCAAAUAUUUACUACAAACGCUAGCCCAAUAAAUGGAUUGCAUGCUGCGUACUCCGUCUAGCAGGUACGUGUUUGCUCUCCGGCCAAAUUUCAUCUUUCCAUAACUCCUUUGUGUUCUACAAAAGAGAUGUUCAGUUCAGGUGAUUCCGCCGAAACUAUUUCGAUAUGCAUACAUCUCACAACAUUACGGGCUUUCAGUUCAAGCAUGGCAUCGGAAUGAGCUGAUGAUAUUCCUCUUGAUUCCUCUUCUUGUGAAGUAGUAGGAGAGGAAGUAUCAUCCAUGCCAUGGUGUUACCACCACGCCAGUAAACUCUAGCUGCGGGAUCUGAACAGCAGACGAUGGUCUGAUGGAUAACAAGAAGAGGCUGCAGGCAGCAGGUAGACAGGGCAAGAGCUACCACCAUGAACCCGUGUCUGGUGGUGCCUCUAUGGCCGCCGAAAUAUUAGCAGCUCCAUUAAUCCUCCACGUGUACUACACGCCAAGGCCCCUUAACCCAUGCACGUUGCUGUGUCGUAUAGUCUAUAGUGUCAAUUCGGCGAGCUGAUGGCAAUGUUGCCGCUGGAUCCCCGUCGGUUGGUCGAAGCAUCAGGGGCCUGUUGGAGACUCAACAUUGAACAGCCGACACUACUGUUCGAUCUUCAGCUGCCCAGUGCCCAGGCAGGAUCCAGGAUCCACAGCACAACGGCUGGUAUGGUACUUGGUAGGUCUGGACUCUGGACAUUGGUGGGCAGGUGUCAAAUCAAGUUAUCUUUUUAAUCAACUGUUGAUGAUCAUCCUUCAUCCACAAGGGGAAGUGGUCUCGUCCACGCCAGCAAAAUGAUUCUGCCUCUAUUCUUUUUUUUCCCCCCCAAAAGGAACUACCUAUAUUCUUUUUGAUUCGUUGUUUUUGGACUCGAAAUAAAGGGCCAUCGACCAUUAUUUCAAAUCGUUCUU